AAAAUGUAAAAGUAAAGUAAAGACCUGUGAUGAGGUGGUGAAGCACAACCUUCAAAUGCUGGGCAUCACAGGGGCAAUGACAAUUGACCGAGACCUUUGGAGAUAUGCUGUGCUUGAGAAGACCCAGCAAGCCAAAUGAAACCAUAACCAUGGCC